rnacentral:rRNA from 1 species
UACGGAAGGCAGCAGUGGGGAAUAUUGGACAAUGGGCGCAAGCCUGAUCCAGCCAUGCCGCGUGAGUGAUGAAGGCCCUAGGGUUGUAAAGCUCUUUCACCGGUGACGAUAAUGACGGUAACCGGAGAAGAAGCCCCGGCUAACUUCGUGCCAGCAGCCGCGGUAAUACGAAGGGGCUAGCGUUGUUCGGAAUUACUGGGCGUAAAGCGCACGUAGGCGGAUAUUUAAGUCAGGGGUGAAAUCCCGGGGCUCAACCCCGGAACGGCCUUUGAUACUGGAUGUCUUGAGUCCGGAAGAGGUGAGUGGAAUUGCGAGUGUAGAGGUGAAAUUCGUAGAUAUUCGCAGGAACACCAGUGGCGAAGGCGGCUCACUGGUUCGGAACUGACGCUGAGGUGCGAAAGCGUGGGGAGCAAACAGGGAUUAGAUACCCGU